GUCCAAUCAAUGAGAUGAGAUUGGAGGUGUUGGUUAAAGCUGCCCUGCCCUACAAAAACACACACCAGUUCUGGGUUUGCUUUUCCCAAGAAGCAUUGCCUGAUGUGAAUGAUGCCUCGCACAAACGAGCUCUCAGAAGACCUACGAUUAAGAAUUGUUGACUUGCAUAAAACUGGAAAGGGUUAUAAAAGUAUCUCCUUGCUGUUCAUCACUCCACGGUAAGACAAAUUGUCUAUAAAUGGAGAAGGUUCAGCACUGCUGCUACUCUCCCUAGGAGUGGCCAUCCUGUAAAGAUGACUGCAAGAGCACAGCGCAGACUGCUCAAUGAGGUGAAGAAGAAUCCUAGAGUGUCAGCUAAAGACUUACAAAAGUCACUGGCAAAUGCUAACAUCCCUGCAUGUUUACAGCUUGCACAAGAGCACCUGGAUGUUCCACAGCAGUACUGGCAAAAUAUUCUGUGGACAGAUGAAACCAAAGUUGAGUUGUUUGUAAGAAACACACAACACUAUGUGUGGUGAAAAAAAGGCACAGCACACCAACAUCAAAACCUCAUCCCAACUGUGAAGUAUGGUGGUGGGGGCAUCAUGGUUUGGGGCUGCUUUGCUGCGUCAGGGCCUGAAC